rnacentral:rRNA from 1 species
UACAGAGGGCCCAAGCGUUGUUCGGAUUCAUUGGGCGUAAAGGGUGCGUAGGCGGUGGGGUAAGUUGGAUGUGAAAUCUUGGGGCUUAACCUCAAAAUUGCAUUCAAUACUGCUCCGCUCGAGUUCUGUAGAGGAGAUUGGAAUUUACGGUGUAGCAGUGAAAUGCGUAGAUAUCGUAAGGAACGCCAGUGGCGAAAGCGAAUCUCUGGGCAGCAACUGACGCUGAGGCACGAAGGCCAGGGGAGCAAACGGG